GCGGUCGUGGUGGAAUUGGUAGACUCGCUGGCUUCAGGUGCCAGUGUGCGAAAGCACGUGUCGGUUCGAGUCCGACCGACCGCACCA
rnacentral:tRNA from 1 species